GUGGGGAAUAUUGGACAAUGGGGGGAACCCUGAUCCAGCCAUGCCGCGUGUGUGAAGAAGGCCUUUUGGUUGUAAAGCACUUUAAGCGAGGAGGAGGCUACCGAGAUUAAUACUCUUGGAUAGUGGACGUUACUCGCAGAAUAAGCACCGGCUAACUCUGUGCCAGCAGCCGCGGUAAUACAGAGGGUGCAAGCGUUAAUCGGAUUUACUGGGCGUAAAGCGCGCGUAGGUGGCCAAUUAAGUCAAAUGUGAAAUCCCCGAGCUUAACUUGGGAAUUGCAUUCGAUACUGGUUGGCUAGAGUAUGGGAGAGGAUGGUAGAAUUCCAGGUGUAGCGGUGAAAUGCGUAGAGAUCUGGAGGAAUACCGAUGGCGAAGGCAGCCAUCUGGCCUAAUACUGACGCUGAGGUACGAAAGCAUGGGGAGCAAACAGGAUUAGAAACCCUAGUAGUCC
rnacentral:rRNA from 1 species